rnacentral:lncRNA from 10 species
UCCUUGUCCACGUCGGCCAGCUUCCAGAUCUUCCCUAGCACGGUGUUGGGGAGCUUGGACUUCACCAUCUCCUUCUUGGCGUUGGCGCCCGUGAUCUUGCCGUUGACAGGGGACAGCGUGUAGAAGAUCUCGUCGUAGGGCUGCGGCAAGGAUUCAUGGACAGGGCACCAGAGCGCCUGGCAUGGCCCUGCCCUCCCCCCACCACGCAGGGCAUUGGGCAUCUCUUUCUUGAGGGAGCUGAUGAUGUAGGCGUGAACCUGUGAGGACGGGGUGAGCAUCAGGCGCUCUCUUGGCCCAGGCUGCCCCCGAGAGCAGAGCCUCCAAGGACACUCCAAGGAUACUCCAAGGUGCUCGCUCAGGAACAGGGAAGCAGGAGGGAUGGGUCAAGCUCAAGGCCGCUACCACCACCGGCUCCCACAGUCCUAGGAGCAGACACAAUCUGGCAAGAGCCACAGCUGUCCACUGCCACAGGACAGAGGACAGGACAGGAAAACGCACUUGAAACAGAAGACAACAGCCUUGGCCUUGCACGGAUCAUUGUGAUGAUUCAGGAAG